rnacentral:rRNA from 1 species
AUUGAACGCUGGCGGCAUGCCUUACACAUGCAAGUCGAACGGCAGCAUGGAGAGCUUGCUCUCUGAUGGCGAGUGGCGAACGGGUGAGUAAUGCAUCGGAACGUACCGUGUAAUGGGGGAUAACGUAGCGAAAGUUACGCUAAUACCGCAUACGACCUGAGGGUGAAAGCAGGGGAUCGCAAGACCUUGCGUUAUACGAGCGGCCGAUGGCAGAUUAGUUAGUUGGUGAGGUAAAGGCUCACCAAGGCGACGAUCUGUAGCGGGUCUGAGAGGAUGAUCCGCCACACUGGGACUGAGACACGGCCCAGAGUCCUACGGGAGGCAGCAGUGGGGAAUUUUGGACAAUGGGGGCAACCCUGAUCCAGCCAUGCCGCGUGAGUGAAGAAGGCCUUCGGGUUGUAAAGCUCUUUCGGCCGGGAAGAAAUCGCACAGGCUAAUACUCUGUGUGGAUGACGGUACCGGCAUAAGAAGCACCGGCUAACUACGUGCCAGCAGCCGCCGUAA